AAAUCUUGCUGCUGGUUGCUCUCUGGGUGCGUGUCACCUUUAAGAGCUGUAACACUCACAGGGAAGGUCCCCAGCUUCAUUCUUGAAGUAAGCAAGACCAAGAACCCACAGGAAGGAACCAACUUCAGACACAAGAGCAACAGGCUGCUACUGCGAAGAGGCCCAAACAGCAGAGAUCUCAGCACUUCCAGCAUGGGCAGACAACCCAGCAUCCCAUUACUACACGUUGACCCCAGUCUCACCGCCACCCCUGGAUGUGCCAUACCCACACUCCGUCUGCCUGGUUGGAAGUGGUUUGGGGGAAGACGAAGGGAUAGCAAAUGGUAGACUGUCACUUGGUCCUCCAAGCGCAGGAGAGGCUGACCAGCAUUUAUUAACCACGUGGUGAACUGCCCGUUGUCCGAACAGUCACCAUCAGGUCCUAGCGGCAGGCCAGGUCAGCGCAGUGUCUGGUGUGAGGGCCUGGACUUUCAAAAUGCAUCUAUGGCCAAGGUGAGGCAGCAGAGGCAGAAAAGGCCGAGGCCCAGCAGGCCAGCCAGCCCUUCAAACUGCAGCCCUCGCUGCUGGUACAUGGUCGUGCGCAAACUUCGGCACACGCCAGCGCAGGCAGCACUAGCUGUUGGCUGAGGGCAGUCUUGACUUGGCGGCGGUCCGAAGACAGAACCAGGGGCUCAGGCUCUGGCUUCUGCUUUGCCAGAAGCCUCCACGGGCAUCUGCUUCCAUGAACUGAGCUCCUCCUCCUGCUGGACAACUUCAGGGGCAAGGAGAUGGUGCCCUGGGCUGUCAUUACAUGUGAAAACAGCUUAUCCUUCUAUGCUUCCACUCAGCACAGACACCCCUGCCCUUGGCGUCUGCAGGUGCCCAGAGCUUGGAUCCUGGCAUGUGGCCUCAGACUGAGCCAUCUCACUUUCAGUGUCUGAAUUCUCUGGUCCUCUGCCAAGUUCUGAGCCAGUCUCGGGUAUGUAGAAUAGAGAUCCUGUGCGGAAGGUGGUCUCCUCAAAUAGACAAACCUGAGAGUAAAGCAGUCCUGAGGAAUCUGCUCUGGGUUUAGUAGGAGACAUAUGUCAUUGACACCCUGGAAAAAGAAGAUGUGAUGGCAAGUGAAGCAGCAGCAACCAUCAUAGACAACUAUCCAGGUAAAGCGAAUAGCACCAGAGAGACCUCAGCCCUGGCAGCCUUGAACCACUGGACCAGUGCCAACAAACCCCACAUCUGGAUUUUACUGUGUCCAAAGAGAAAAAUCUUCUAUUGUCUCAGAUACCGUCUGGCAGAAUUUUCUGUUCCUCACACGUGGAUGCCAUGUCUAACUGACACAUCAGCCGGCGGACGUGGCUGUUGGCUGACUGCACCAUGGAAUAGAACUGGUUUGCAGAACGCCGAUUCACUUCUCCUCGUUCAAUCCAGGAAAGCAGCACUGUGAUCGCCUCUGAAAACUUGCUAUCAUCUGGAAAUGGAAAACCACCAAGUACAAAUCAUGCCAAGAUGAGAAAAUACACUUUAUUCUUAUUCCUCUCAAAAGACAGAGCAUAGUCCAACCUGGUGGAUGUGUUUUCAGAACUCAACAAAUUAGCUUUCCUGAGACUGACUGCCAUAUAAUCACUUAAUUUCUCUUUUCUCAUCUAACUUCAGGGCACCAUAGAACCACUCAGGAGGUUCACACUCUCAUCUGCCAACUCCAUGAGCUCAGCUAUAGGAGAUUUGUUCUGGGCAUUCUUAGAAAUAAGGUACAGCCUAAUUCUUCCACCAAACCUUGUUUUCUCUUUCUUA